CUGACUGUGGAACAUAGUACCGUAUCUUCAAUAGUAUGCCUACGGUCUUGGAAUUUUUUUUGGAAAUUUGUUGUAUAUGUGUUUGAAAUUUGAGUCUAUUAUCAAGGUGGAUUCCUAGGAAUUUUUCCUCUGUGAGUUUUGUGAUAUGUGAUCCAUUUAUCAUUAUGUUAAGAGACACAUCUGCAGCUCUGUUACCAAACUGAAUGUAGUAGGUUUUGUCAAUGUUUAGUGUAAGUUUGUUGGUCCUCAUCCAGGUUGAUAUUUUCUGUAAUUCGGUAUUUACAGUAUUGGCUAGCAUGACUGGGCUCAGGUGAGAGUAGAUGUAGUGUCAUCUGCAAAUAGUGUGGGUUUGAGUAAUUGCGAUGCAUUUGGUAAGUCAUUUAUGUAUAUGAGAAAGAGAAGAGGGCCUAGGACACUUCCCUGUGGGACACCAACUGUAAUUGGCUGUGCGGAAGAGUUUGCCCCAUUUGUGUACACAUAUUGGCUUCUGUUGCUGAGGUAUGGCUUUAGGUAGUUGAGGGAGUGCCCUCUUAUACCAUAGUGCGACAAUUUUAUGUGGAGCAAGUCGUGGUCAACUGUAUUGAAAGCUUUACGCAAGUCAAUGAAGAUCCCCAGUGGGACUUCUUUUUUCUCUAUUGCUGUAUAAAUAUGUUCUAGCAUGUGUAUAAUAGCAUCAUUAGUAUUUUUAUUAGGCCUGAACCCAAAUUGACAGGGGUUAAGUAUGUUGUGGGAGAUGAGGUAGGAAUAGAUACGCUUAUGGAUUAAUUUUUCAAAGAUUUUAGAGAGAGGGUGUAAGUUGGAUAUUGGCCUAUAGUUAUUCAAGUCUGUGUGGUCUCCUCCUUUAUGGAUCGGGGUGACCCUUGCUAUUUUGAGAACUGUAGGAAAGGUAGAGGAUUCAAUGGAUUUGUUAAAGUGUUGCAAUGAUUGGUGAUAGCACCUGUGACACUUUUUUGUAUAUAAUGGGUGGUAAGGUAUUUAAAUCUCCUGUCUUGUUUUUUAGUUUGUUGAUAAUAAGGGAGACUUCAGUUGGGUUAGUCGGAGCUAGGAAUAGUGUGUUCGGGUAGUUGCCAGUGAGGUAGUCAUUGGGUGGGGUAUCUGAGCUUGGGAUUUUAUUGGCAAGGUUUUUUCUAUAGUGGAGAAGAAAUCAUUGAGUCUGUUUGCUGUUUCAGUAGGUGGGAAUUGGGGUUCAUCUGGUUUUGUUAAUUCAAUUUCGCUAUUUCGUGUUAUCUUUUUUGUUCCUAGUAUUUCUGAUAGGGUUUUCCAGGUCUUUUUUAUGUCACCUCGUAAGUUGGAUAAUCUGUUCUCAUAAUACAAUUUUUUAGCCCUUCUUAUUAGGCUGGUUAGGAUUGACGAGUAACGUUUUGUUUGGUCUCUGGUUAUGUGGCCCAUUCUGUACUGUUUUUCGUAUAGGUGCUUUGUAUUUAUGGAUUUGAGGAUACUGGGUGUUAGCCAGGGACUGUUCAGUCUCUUUGCAGUCAUCUAUUUAGUUUUUUUUAGGGCAGUGCUUGUUAUAGAGGUAUUGGGUCUUUUUUAGAAAAUUAUUAAUACAUUCGUCAAUAUCUGUAUAGAUUUCUAGCUCAGUUUGCCAGUCAAUGUUUGUCACUGCUGCUGUGAAGUUAUUGAUAGCUGCCUCAUUGUGAAGUCUGAAAGUGACUUUAGUAGUGUCUUGGGGUAAUUUGCCAAGGUUUGUUAUGAGGAAGGUAGGGUAAUGGUCUGUGGUAUUAUCUGUGAUUAUGCCUGAUCUUAAGGGGGAUAUGGUGUUGGUCCAGAUGUGGUCUAGUAGGGAAACACUAGUCUCUGUAACUCUUGUAGGUUUUGUUACUGUUGGUAGCAACAUGCAGUUACUCAGUGUUUGUGAAUGCAGUAACAUGUGGGUCUUGGUCUUGUAGGCCUAUGAGGGUUUUCGAGCUAAAUUUGACGCCGCUAGAAUUUUGGCGUAGAUCUACGGUUUGGACCCUGAACGUGAAGCCGUAGAUCUACGGGACAGACCCCGAAAGGGUUAAACAACAGGGACAACUGUGAUUAUGACAGAUGUUAAAAACAGGUGGAGAUAUAAUGUUGAAGUGGUUGGUGUAUUAGUUCAAUAUAUGCAUAAAAGAAGGUAAGGUACAUUAACCCUUUGAGGGUCCAAGCCAUAGUUCUAUGCCUUGUCCACAGGGUCCAAAAAUUUUCCCCCCAAAAUUUGUUAUUUUUUCUUAUAAAAUGGUAGGGAAUCUUUUUCUGAAGGUAAUAAAGCAAAAAGUACAAAAUUUGAUGGAAAAUUUAUGAAAUUACAUGCAAAUUUUGCUGCAUCAGCUAUAUUUAUGCAUCAGCGAUUUUGCCCACUUUGACUCCUGUUUUAGGCCAAUUAUGCACAUUAUUCCAGUCGACCAAAUUCUUAGCUAUUUCACUAGUAUCACUUCUAUUUUAUUGCUUGAACACAAGAAACUACCCAGUCAACUAUUUCAGCUGCCCAAUAAAGUGAUCAGAAAUUGGUAAUUUGGUCAGUUUCACAUGAAAUUCAGAAUAUUCCAGUUUCAAAAUAGGGUCUAGAAUAACCAAGCAGGUAUUCCUGGCACUAAAAUAGCAUUUCCUCUUCUCAUUAGUUAUGUUCCCAAGCUUUACAGAUGAAUUCCAUUUUGAUUUUUUAUUCACUUUAAGAAUUUUUAAUCACAUCAAAAAAUAGAAGAUUUACUGUUACGCAAUAUUGUAAUAAUUGUAUAAAUAAUAUCAGCACAUUCGUGAACAUUUAUUAGACCCACCAGUUGACAUGUAUUGGACACGUGGCGUCAUUUAUUUACUCUUGAGCAUCGGGAAAAAUCAAACAUUUCCACUACGUUGAGCUCAAUUUCAAGCUAUUUUCAGUACUAAAACCAAUCAGAAUUAUCUCUAUUUCUGUAAUGUAUCUUCCAUUCUAUCAAAUGAGACCAAGAAACCAUGAAUACAACCAUAAAAACCAUGCAAAAAUACACCACAGUCACUGUCUUAAUCCAAAAACACAGUCACGUUUCUUUUUUCUCUUUAUGCACUAUGUGCUGCAGGAUUUGCUUUAUAUGGUGCACACUUACUACAUAGAUCCAUUCUCUCAUAUCUAAGCCCAAAUUUACCGCUCGCAGCUUAUCUGAGUGAACUGAGCUCAAGACAUAGAACUACGGCUUGGACCCAGGCUUCAAACCUGUAGAACUACGGGAUGGACCACCCUCAAAGGGCUAAUGACAUAAUUAGAAUGUUGAAGCAUUAGUAUUUUUUUAAUAAAUGAGAUAAGGGGCAACUAUAGGGUGAUUCAGAUCAGUUUGAAGAGUUGUAUGAUUUUGGAUUAUUUUUAUGCAGUUUUUUGUCUCAUUGAUUAUGUUAGAGCAUUUUAUUUGGAAGAGUCAUAGAUGUUUCUCUGAUGCUUUUUAAGUAUGUAAUAGUAAAAUACUGUACACUGUCAAAAUCAAAGAGAACUUUGAGUAUUCAACUGUCAAUUUAAUAUUUGUGUGCCAAUGUAAUCUCUAUGGUUGUAUUGAAUGUUUUCCUUCUUAGAUAUUUUACAAUGACCUCUUAAUUGUGAUCUUUAUAUCACUAUUGAGUAAAAUUUCAACUUAUUUUAGGGCAUUGUGCAUCUUCGUGCAAGACAAGACGUACUACAAGGAAAGGCCGAUGUGCGUCACCCCAACGAUCUUCGAUGGUGCUGAGAAGUUCAGUUCGGCAGAAAAAUCCCAUAAGAAACCAAAGCAAACAGGGAAGAUAGAACAGAUAUUCUACAUUAUAGUUAUGUUUUUUCUUUAAUUAAAAUUUGCAUUUUUGCCCUCCACCUCUUUUACUUUUUGUUUUAUUUACAUAAUCUGGGAUAAUCAGAGAUCACAUGCUUCUUUUGUAGACCAUUGUGGAACGCCCUCCGUAGCUGAUGUGGCACUGCGUCGUAAUUUGAAGAAGCGAAAAUUAAGGAAGAAAGCUGGGAAAAGGCUGCAGAGGAGACUUGAGUAUGAAGUAAAUAGAUUAAAUAAUAAAAGAAUAUGAUAUGAUACAUAUAUUGAGAAAUAUCUGUCAAAAUUUUCCAAGAAAUCUCUCUAAUACUAUUCAUUGUUCUUUAUUGUUAGUACAUUUCUUCUUGAUUGUGGAUAUUAUGUAAGAGAAAUUAAUAUCCUGAAUAAACAAAUUUGCACAGUUACACAAAGUUGCAAACAACAUUUGUAGAUCAUUGAUGUACAUUCUGGAAACUGCAAGUGCUUAUUUUUGUACUUUCAGAUGAGUUUUCUUUCUUUUAAGACUAUCGCAUUUACACAUUGUUCAGAAAUUUUACACAGUAAUGUGAAUCAGAAUAGCUGACUCAAUUGUGUUUCCUUUACAGUAUAUAUCACUUGUUGCUGCCUCUUGUGCUUUAUUCAUGUGUUUCUUUUUUUUUUUUUAUCCUGGGUACCAUAUGAAAUUUAUUCUCAUGUAUUGUAAAAUAUAGUGUUUAAGUGCAUGAUGUACAGUAUAUAAUAAGGUAUGUCCUACUUAGCACUGUAUAUUUUUAUAUGUUUAGCAUCUUUUUGGCUCAAAUUGACUUCUCUAGUUUGUAUUAACAUUGAAUUCCAUUUUACUUUCUUUUCAAUACAAUGGCAGUCUCCCACCAAGAUAGGGUGACCCCAAAAAAGAAACACUUUAACCAUCACUAUUAUUGUCUUGCCAGAGGUGUGCACUACAGUUCGGAUGUUCUUCCAAAGAGCAAAUAUUCCCACCCCCUUUCUUCAGAGUGUAGGCACUGUACUUCCUACCUGCAGGUCUCAAGUCUGGCUAACCAAUUUCCCUGAAUCCCUUCACAAAAUAUUACUUUGCUCACACUUGAACAGUUCGCCAAGUCCAAAAAACCAUUUGCCUCUACUCCUAUCUAACAUGCUCUUACAUGCCUACUGGAUGUCCAAGCCUCUCGCACACAAAACCUCCUUUACCUCCAACCUUUCCUCAGGUGACACCCCCCUUUCCUGUGUACAUGUGUGCGCAAGCAUGCGUGUGCGUGCACGUAAAUAAAAUGUGUGCAUGCUUGCAUACAUUUGCAUAUACAUAUAUCUGUCUGCAAGGCAUAUAUACAUAUUUUUUUUUUUGUCUUCAUGAGCUCACCUCUCACCAGGGCAGGGAAACCCAAAGAAGAAAACAUUCACCAACAUUCACUCGAUCUCUCCCUACAGCACUAUGCUGACAUCAAAAUCAUAUUUAAUAUGCACUCAGGUGCCUACAUUUUUUUUAAUGUUCUUUUGUAUGUGCUUACUUUACAGUGAGUAACAUUUUUUUAUAUAUGUAGGUAAUAAAUGUGAUUUUUCCUUUCUC